rnacentral:ncRNA from 1 species
UAUAGCAGCAGGCAGAGAUGCGCUGUACACUCGUGCAAGCGAAUUUGCGUUUAAGCGGUAUGUAAUGCCGUCGCCCACGAGGAGGCCGCCUUCGGGCGGCUUUUUUAUUGGAG